UACGUAGGGGGCAAGCGUUGUCCGGAUUUAUUGGGCGUAAAGCGCUCGCAGGUGGUUCAUUGCGUCGUGCGUGAAAGACCCCGGCUCAACUGGGGAGGGUCGUGCGAAACGGGUGAACUAGAGGCCAGUAGGGGGAUGCGGAAUUCCGGGUGUAGUGGUGGAAUGCGUAGAGAUCCGGAGGAACACCAGCGGCGAAGGCGACUUCCUGGCCUGUUCUUGACGCUGAGGCGCGAAAGCUAGGGGAGCAAACGGG
rnacentral:rRNA from 1 species